rnacentral:rRNA from 1 species
GACGAACGCUGGCGGCGUGCUUAACACAUGCAAGUUGAACGAGAAGAUUUUUACGGAUUCCUUCGGGAAGAAGAAAAGAUUGGAAAGUAGCGAACGGGUGAGUAACACGUGAGAAACCUGCCUUUCACAAAGGGAUAGCCUCGGGAAACCGGGAUUAAUACCUUAUGAUACGAUAAUAUCGCAUGAUAAUAUCGUUAAAGAAUUUCGGUGAAAGAUGGUCUCGCGUCUGAUUAGCUAGAUGGUGGGGUAAAGGCCUACCAUGGCGAUGAUCAGUAGCCGGAUUGAGAGAUUGAACGGCCACACUGGAACUGAGACACGGUCCAGACUCCUACGGGAGGCAGCAGUGGGGAAUUUUGCACAAUGGGGGAAACCCUGAUGCAGCGACGCCGCGUGAACGAAGAAGGCCUUCGGGUUGUAAAGUUCUGUCCUUGGUGAAGAUAAUGACUGUAACCAAGAAGCAAGCCCUGGCUAAAUACGUGCCAGCAGCCGCGGUAAUACGUAUGGGGCAAGCGUUGUCCGGAAUUAUUGGGCGUAAAGGGUACGUAGGCGGUUAAUUAAGUCUUAAUUAAAAGGCAUUGGCUCAACCAAUGUAAGGUUAAGAUACUGAUUAACUUGAGUAGAUGAGGGGAAAGUGGAAUUCCAUGUGUAGCGGUGAAUGCGUAGAUAUAUGGAGGAACACCUGUGGCGAAGCGACUUUCUGGAAUCUAACUGACGCUGAGGUACGAAGGCGUGGGGAGCAAACAGG